rnacentral:rRNA from 1 species
GAUGAACGCUAGCUACAGGCUUAACACAUGCAAGUCGAGGGGAAACGACAUCGAAAGCUUGCUUUUGAUGGGCGUCGACCGGCGCACGGGUGAGUAACGCGUAUCCAACCUGCCCACCACUUGGGGAUAACCUUGCGAAAGUAAGACUAAUACCCAAUGAUAUCUCUAGAAGACAUCUGAAAGAGAUUAAAGAUUUAUCGGUGAUGGAUGGGGAUGCGUCUGAUUAGCUUGUUGGCGGGGUAACGGCCCACCAAGGCUACGAUAAGUAGGGGUGCGGAGAGGAAGGUCCCCCACAUUGAGACUGAGACACGGUCCAAACUCCUACGGGAGGCAGCAGUGAGGAAUAUUGGUCAAUGGGCGAGAGCUUGGACCAGCCAAGUAGCGUGCAGGAUGACGGCCCUAUGGGUUGUAAACUGCUUUUAUAAGGGAAUAAAGUGAGCCUCGUGAGGCUUUUUGCAUGUACCUUAUGAAUAAGGACCGGCUAAUUCCGUGCCAGCAGCCGCCGUAA